UACGUAGGGUGCAAGCGUUAAUCGGAAUUACUGGGCGUAAAGCGUGCGCAGGCGGUUAUGUAAGACAGAUGUGAAAUGGCCGGGCUUAACCUGGGAACUGCAUUUGUGACUGCAUGGCUAGAGUUUGGCAGAGGGGGGUAGAAUUCCACGUGUAGCAGUGAAAUGCGUAGAUAUGUGGAGGAACACCGAUGGCGAAGGCAGCCCCCUGGGUCAAGACUGACGCUCAUGCACGAAAGCGUGGGGAGCAAACAGG
rnacentral:rRNA from 1 species